GUUCCUGUAGCGCAAUGGAUAGCGCGUUGGACUUCUAAUCCAAAGAUCGUGAAUUCGAAUCCCACUUGGGAUA
rnacentral:tRNA from 1 species